GUGCUCACUUCAGUAGCCACAUACUACAGUUGGAGCAAUACAGAGAAGAUCAGCAUGACCCUUGUGCAAGGAUAACACAUGUUUGUGAAGCGUUCCAUGUUAAA
ensembl:snRNA U6 U6 spliceosomal RNA